AUUGAACGCUGGCGGCAGGCCUAACACAUGCAAGUCGAACGAGUGGCGGACGUGUGAGUAAUGUCUGGGAAACUGCCUGAUUGAGGGGGAUCACUAAUGGAAACGGUAGCUAAUACCGCAUACCAUCGGAUGGUCCCAGAUGGGAGUAGCUAGUAGGUUGGGUAAAGGCUCACCUAGGCGACGAUCCCUAGCUGGUCUGAGAGGAUGACCAGCCACACUGGAACUGAGACACGGUCCAGACUCCUACGGGAGGCAGCAGGAGGGAAUAUUGCACAAUGGGCGAAAGCAUGAUGCAGCCAUGCCGCGUGUAUGAAGAAGGCCUUCGGUUUGUAAAGUACUUUCAGCGGGGAGGCGUGACCCGCAGAAGAAGCACCGGCUAACUCCGUGCCAGCAGCCGCGGUAAUUC
rnacentral:rRNA from 1 species